rnacentral:sRNA from 3 species
GUCAUGAACCCCGGCUUGGAAAGCCGGGGCUUGCAGCAGGGCUACCCACUCUGCGGUAGGCCACGAUUUUCCACGUCUCACAUGAGCAGACUCAGUCCUUCGGGGCUACGUUCGGAACGAAAUAGGUACCAGUGGGUGCGCGGCCAGCCCACUGCUCUACGAUGCAGCAUUAAACAGGUCUAGAGGGUUAAGCCAGUGUGUUGCAUGUGAAACCGUUCCUGAACCUUGUCAAGGCCACCUUUACCCGCGCAAGCGG